rnacentral:rRNA from 1 species
CUGGAGGAGGCGGAAGAGAGAAUGCAGGUAUAAGUAUACGAAAGACGGGUGAGAUCCCCGUCCGCCGAAAGCCUAAGGAUUCCUGGGUAAAGGUCAUCUGCCCAGGGUAAGUCGGCCCCUAAGACGAGGGCGAAAGCCGUAGCCGAUGGGAAACUGGUUCAUAUUCCAGUACCCCGCCAUGUUUUGAUGGGAUGACGCGUAAGGUGAAACCCGGCCGGGCGACGGUUGCCCCGGUCGAAACGGUAAGUUAUUCGCGGAAUAGGCAAAUCCAUCCGCGAGAUAAACCGCGACAGCGAGCAGACCCACGGGAAAGCGAAGCGGGCGUAAUCAUAGCGCCAAGAAAUAAUCUCUAAAGCUAGACUUGGCGGGACCGUACCGUAAACCGACACAGGUAGGCGGGAUGAGCAAUCUAAGGCGCUCGAGAGAACUCGCGUUAAGGAACUCGGCAAAAUGCACACGUAACUUCGGAAGAAGUGUGACCGAUUCUAGUUUAGCAAUAGGUUAGAGCCGGUAGCAUAAAGCAGUCCCAGGCGACUGUUUACCAAAAACACAGGCCUCCGCUAAUCAGCAAUGAGACGUAUGGGGGCUGACACCUGCCCGGUGCCGGAAGGUUAAGAGGAGCGGUUAGCCGCAAGGCAAAGCUGUGAAUUGAAGCCCCGGUAAACGGCGGCCGUAACUAUAACGGUCCUAAGGUAGCGAAAUUCCUUGUCGGGUAAGUUCCGACCCGCACGAAAGGUGUAACGAUCUGGGAGCUGUCUCAACGCGAGACUCGGUGAAAUUUAUGUACCGGUAAAGAAGCCGGUUACCCGUGGUUAGACGGAAAGACCCCGUGAACCUUCACCGUAACUUAUCAUGGGGACUUGAUUAGAUAUGUGUAGGAUAGGUGGGAGGCAGUGAAACGUGGGCGUUAGCUUGCGCGGAGCCGACGGUGAAAUACCACCCUUGUCUGAUUAGGUUUCUAACCCGAACCGUGAAGCCGGUCCGGGGACAGUGAUAGGCGGGCGGUUUGACUGGGGCGGUCGCCUCCUAAAGAGUAACGGAGGUGCGCGAAGGUCUCCUCAAGCCGGUUGGAAAUCGGCUUUUGAGUGUAAAGGCACAAGGAGGCUUGACUGCAAGACCGACAGGUCGAGCAGGUACGAAAGUAGGUCUUAGUGAUCUGGCGGUUGCGAGUGGAAGCGCCGUCACUUAACGGAUAAAAGGUACUCCGGGGAUAACAGGCUGAUCUUCCCCAAGAGUUCACAUCGACGGGAAGGUUUGGCACCUCGAUGUCGGCUCAUCGCAUCCUGGGGCUGAAGCAGGUCCCAAGGGUUUGGCUGUUCGCCAAUUAAAGCGGUACGUGAGCUGGGUUCAGAACGUCGCGAGACAGUUCGGUCCCUAUCUGCCAUGGGCGCAGGAUGGUUGAGAGGACCUGUUUUUAGUACGAGAGGACCGAAAUGGACGAACCGCUGGUGUGCCAGUUGUCCCGCCAGGGGCACGCGCUGGGUAGCUACGUUCGGAAGGGAUAACCGCUGAAGGCAUCUAA